rnacentral:rRNA from 1 species
GUGAGGAAUUUUCCGCAAUGGGCGAAAGCCUGACGGAGCAAUGCCGCGUGAAGGAUGAAGGCCUAUGGGUUGUAAACUUCUUUUCUCAGAAAAGAAUUAUGACGGUAUCUGAGGAAUAAGCAUCGGCUAACUCUGUGCCAGCAGCCGCGGUAAGACAGAGGAUGCAAGCGUUAUCCGGAAUGAUUGGGCGUAAAGCGUCUGUAGGUUGUUUAAAAAGUAUUCUGUCAAAGAUUAGGGCUUAACCCUAGAUAGGCAGAAUAAACUUUUAAGCUAGAGUUUGGUAGAGGCAGAGGGAAUUCCCGGUGGAGCGGUGAAAUGCGUAGAUAUCGGGAGGAACACCAAAGGCGAAGGCACUCUGCUGGGCCAAUACUAACACUGAGAGACGAAAGCGAGGGGAGCAAAUGGGAUUAGAAACCCCAGUAGUCC